rnacentral:rRNA from 1 species
GACGAACGCUGGCGGCGUGCUUAACACAUGCAAGUCGAACGAAGAGCGAUGGAAGCUUGCUUCUAUCAAUCUUAGUGGCGAACGGGUGAGUAACGCGUAAUCAACCUGCCCUUCAGAGGGGGACAACAGUUGGAAACGACUGCUAAUACCGCAUACGAUCUAAUCUCGGCAUCGAGGAUAGAUGAAAGGUGGCCUCUACAUGUAAGCUAUCACUGAAGGAGGGGAUUGCGUCUGAUUAGCUAGUUGGAGGGGUAACGGCCCACCAAGGCGAUGAUCAGUAGCCGGUCUGAGAGGAUGAACGGCCACAUUGGGACUGAGACACGGCCCAGACUCCUACAGGAGGCGGCAGUGGGGAAUCUUCCGCAAUGGACGAAAGUCUGACGGAGCAACGCCGCGUGAGUGAUGACGGCCUUCGGGUUGUAAAGCUCUGUUAAUCGGGACGAAAGGCCUUCUUGCGAACAGUUAGAAGGAUUGACGGUACCGGAAUAGAAAGCCACGGCUAACUACGUG